rnacentral:rRNA from 1 species
AGCAGCCGCCACGGUAAUACAGAGGAUGCAAGCGUUAACCGGAAUUACUGGGCGUAAAGCGUCUGUAGGUGGCUUUUCAAGUCCGCCGUCAAAUCCCAGAGCUCAACCCUGGACAGGCGGUGGAAACUACCAAGCUGGAGUACGGUAGAGGCAGAGGGAAUUUCCGGUGGAGCGGUGAAAUGCGUAGAGAUCUGAAAGAACACCAACGGCGAAAGCACUCUGCUGGGCCGACACUGACACUGAGAGACGAAAGCUAGGGGAGCAAAUGGGAUUAGAUACCCCAGUAGUCCCUGUCUCUUAUAC